GGUGGAGUGGCCGAGCGGUCUAAGGCGCUGGUUUAAGGCACCAGUCUGAAAGGGCAUGGGUUUGAAUCCCACCUCCAUUA
rfam:Schistosoma mansoni strain Puerto Rico chromosome 1, complete genome